rnacentral:rRNA from 1 species
GAUGAACGCUGGCGGGAUGCCUUACACAUGCAAGUCGAACGGCAGCAUAAGAGAGCUUGCUCUCUUGAUGGCGAGUGGCGAACGGGUGAGUAAUGUAUCGGAACGUGCCCAGUAGCGGGGGAUAACUACGCGAAAGCGUAGCUAAUACCGCAUACGCCCUACGGGGGAAAGGAGGGGAGUCUGCAAGGACCUUUCACUAUUGGAGCGGCCGAUAUCGGAUUAGCUAGUUGGUGAGGUAACGGCUCACCAAGGCGACGAUCCGUAGCUGGUUUGAGAGGACGACCAGCCACACUGGGACUGAGACACGGCCCAG